rnacentral:rRNA from 1 species
GUCUAGGGCCAUACCACCCUGAAUGCACUCAAUCUUAUCUAGUCUCUGAAGUUAAGCAAUGAUGGAUCUUGUUAGUACUUGGAUGGGAAACCUUAUGAUUUUUAAUAACUUUGUGUA